rnacentral:rRNA from 1 species
CCCUUAGAUGUUCUGGGCCGCACGCGCGCUACACUGAUGCAUUCAACGAGCCUAGCCUUGACCGAGAGGUCCGGGUAAUCUUUGAAACUGCAUCGUGAUGGGGCUAGAUUAUUGCAAUUAUUAAUCUUCAACGAGGAAUGCCUAGUAAGCGUGAUUCAUCAAAUCGCGUUGAUUACGUCCCUGCCCUUUGUACACACCGCCCGUCGCUCCUACCGAUUGAAUGAUCCGAUGAAUAUCAUGGAUUGAGGAUGCAAGCAGGUUCGCCUGUCUUCAUCUUCGAGAAGUGAAGUAAAUCUUAUCAUUUAGAGGAAGGAGAAGUCGUAACA